AAUGGCGUCGUCACUAUUUCCGGUUGGUCGAAAGUCACUAGCCGACAGAAAAUUGGCUACACGGCUACACUGCAUAGGAUACAAAAUUUUAGAUUUAGAUUGCAUUUAAACCACGAUUUGAACGGAAAAGUCAGGAGAUGAAAAGUUCCACGUACAAACAAAAAUAGAUACUUGAUUAAAUAAAACAAAAACCCCUUCGUCAAAGGCGGUGAAUUCAUCAAACACUCAGGGACAACCUUCUUGUUCUUAGAAAAAAUUCUGAGAAAAAAUUUCCUAAAAAUCAGGCUGUUUUUAGACGAGACUCAGAAAAUGCACAGUCUUCGUUAAUCGACGGUACUCACCAACAUUGGAAUAUUCGGCACGCGAACAAUAUCCAACCCGGGAUCACCGACUGACAUUUCCGGAACGUAAACGAUGCUUCUUCUCGGAACAUACGAAACUGUACCGUUGUCGUUCCACGUUACGUUUCCAUUCUCCAAAAAUUCUCUGUUCGAACAAACGAUGAUAGUGCAAGUGAAUAAGUUGUGCGCAGUUUCAGGAGUGUUGUUUCACGCAAACGAGGUUCGGAGGGUUUUCAAGAAACGUGGAAAAAGGAAUGCUGCUACUUCGUUUCGGA